UACGGGGGGGGCAAGCGUUGUUCGGAAUUACUGGGCGUAAAGGGCGCGUGGGCGGCCUGCUAAGUCGGACGUGAAAUCCCUCGGCUCAACCGAGGAACUGCGUCCGAUACUGGUGGGCUUGAAUCCGGGAGAGGGAUGUGGAAUUCCAGGUGUAGCGGUGAAAUGCGUAGAUAUCAGGAGGAACACCUGUGGUGUAGACAGCUUACUGGACCACUUCUGACGCUGAGGCACGAAAGCGUGGGUAGCAAACAGG
rnacentral:rRNA from 1 species